ensembl:misc_RNA 7SK 7SK RNA
GAAUGUGAGGGUGAUCUGGCUGCGGUAUCUGCUACUCCAUUGAUCACCAGUGUUGAUCUGGUUGAUCUGGCUGGCCAGGCAGGUUCCCCUUCCUCCCUCACUACUCCAUAUGCAUCCCUCCGGAAGCCACAAGCUCAGUUGAAGAAGAGGACCUUCCCCAAACAGAUGGACCAGUCUUCAAUUAAGGGUAUGCUAGUAGCUCCUCUGAUAGAACCUCCAAACAAGCUCUCAAGACUUAUUUUGUUCAUUACAUAUAAGACAGAGUUUCACAUGAGACAGAGAGAGAAGCCAGAGCACUACUCU